rnacentral:rRNA from 1 species
UUGGAGGGCAAGUCUGGUGCCAGCAGCCGCGGUAAUUCCAGCUCCAAUAGCGUAUAUUAAAGUUGUUGCAGUUAAAAAGCUCGUAGUUGAAUUUCGGGAUCAAUAUGUUGGUCGUGCCUUGGUACGUACUAAUUUAUUGGUUUCUUCCUUCUGACGAACCUUGAUGUCAUUAAUUUGGUGUCCUGGGGAAUCAGGACUGUUACUAUGAAAAAAUUAGAGUGUUUAAAGCAGGCUCACGCUUGAAUACAUUAGCAUGGAAUAAUGAAAUAGGACGUUUGAUUCUAUUUUGUUGGUUUCUAGGAUCGACGUAAUGAUUAAUAGGGAUAGUUGGGGGCAUUAGUAUUCAAUUGUCAGAGGUGAAAUUCUUGGAUUUAUUGAAGACUAACUACUGCGAAAGCAUUUGCCAAGGAUGUUUUCAUUAAUCAAGAACGAAAGUUAGGGGAUCGAAGACGAUCAGAUACCGUCGUAGUCUUAACCAUAAACUAUGCCGACUAGGGACCGGAUGAUGUUAAUUUUUUAAUGACUCAUUCGGCGCCUUACGGGAAACCAAAGUGUUUGGGUUC